UACAGAGGGUGCAAGCGUUGUUCGGAAUUAUUGGGCGUAAAGCGCGUGUAGGCGGCCUUGCAAGUCGGUGUGAAGCCUCAGCUCAACUGAGGAAGCGCGCCCGAAACUGCAGAGCUUGAGUACCGGAGAGGAUGGCGGAAUUCCCAAGUAGAGGUGAAAUUCGUAGAUAUGGGAGGAACACCGGUGGCGAAGGCGGCCAUCUGGACGGAUACUGACGCUGAGACGCGAAAGCGUGGGAGCAACAGG
rnacentral:rRNA from 1 species